AUUCUAUGUUGUGAUUUAUAACAACUGUCUAUAGAUUCUAUGUUGUGAUUUAUAACAACAUGACAUAGGGGUUUAAAGCCAACUGUCUAUAGAUUCUAUGUUGUGAUUUAUAACAACAUGACAUAGGGGUUUAAAGCCAACUGUCUAUAGAUUCUAUGUUUGUUUAUACAACAUGACAUAGGGGUUAAAGCCAACUGUCUAUAGAUUCUAUGUUGUGAUUUAUAAACAACAUGACAUAGGGUUUAAAGCAACUGUCUAUAGAUUCUAUGUUGUGAUUUAUAACAACUGUCUAUAGAUUCUAUGUGUGAUUUAUAACAACUGUCUAUAGAUUCUAUGUUGUGAUUUAUACAACUGUCUAUAGUUCUAUGUUGUGAUUUACAACAACAUGACAUAGGGGUUUGAAACCAAGUGAGGUGUGACAGAGCAGAAUUUAAUAUAAUAUUUUAUCCUUUAGAGACGUUUCAACUGUUAGAUUAAACCUGUGUAUCUUCUACCUCAUCUCGGAACUAGGAGGAGGAUUCAGUUUGUUGUUUUUUUGUAUGUAAAUAAAACAACAACACAACUACAGUAGCAAUCCCCGUUGUUAUUGCACCACUGUGGAACACAAAUCCUCUGUGUUAAAGGCUUUUUCUCCCUCUGUGCACUUCCUGUCCUCUGUGCACUUCCUGUCCGCUGUUACAAUGAGCUGUGGUACUUUGAACUGAGUAGGAAAUGAACAUCAAAUCACAGGCUAGUUACACCACAGCUGCUGUUAGUUACACCACAGCUGUUAGUUACAACCACAGCUGUUAGUUACACCACAGCUGUUAGUUACACCACAGCUGUUAGUUACACCACAGCUGUUAGUUACACCACAGCUGCUGUUAGUUAUACCACAGCUACUGUUAUUUAUACCACAGCUUGUUAGUUAGUACACACUGCUGUUAGUUAUACCACAGCUGCUGUUAGUUUACACCACGCUGCUGUUAGUUAUACCACAGCCUGUUAGUCAACCACGCUGCUGUUAGUUACACCACAGCUGCUGUUAGUUACACCACAGCUGUUAGUUCACCACAGCUGUUAGUUACACCACAGCUGCUGUUAGUUAUACCACAGCUGCUGUUAGUUACACCACAGCUGUUAGUUAUACCACAGCUACUGUUAGUUAUACCACAGCUGUUAGUUAUACCACAGCUGCUGUUAGUUACACCACAGCUGCUGCUAGUUACACCACAGCUGUUGCUAGUUACACCACAGCUGCUGUUAGUUACACCACAGCUGUUAGUUACACCACAGCUACUGUUAGUUACACCACAGCUGCUGUUAGUUAUACCACAGCUGCUGUUAGUUAUACCACAGCUGCUGUUAG
rnacentral:lncRNA from 1 species